rnacentral:rRNA from 1 species
CCUACGGGGGACAGCAGUGAGGAAUAUUGGUCAAUGGACGAGAGUCUGAACCAGCCAAGUAGCGUGAAGGAUGACUGCCCUAUGGGUUGUAAACUUCUUUUAUAUGGGAAUAAAACGUUCCACGUGUGGGAUUUUGUAUGUACCAUAUGAAUAAGGAUCGGUUAACUCCGUGCCAGCAGCCACGGUAAUACGGAGGAUCCGAGCGUUAUCCGGAUUUAUUGGGUUUAAAGGGAGCGUAGGUGGAUUGUUAAGUCAGUUGUGAAAGUUUGCGGCUCAACCGUAAAAUUGCAGUUGAAACUGGCAGUCUUGAGUACAGUAGAGGUGGGCGGAAUUCGUGGUGUAGCGGUGAAAUGCUUAGAUAUCACGAAGAACUCCGAUUGCGAAGGCAGUUCACUGGACUGCAACUGACACUGAGGCUCGAAAGUGUGGGUAUCAAACAGGAUUAGAUACCCGGGUAGUC